CAAGUCGAGGGGUAACAGGGGUUGCUUGCAACCCGCUGACGACCGGCGCACGGGUGCGUAACGCGUAUACAAUCUGCCUUUUGCUGAGGAAUAGCCCAGAGAAAUUUGGAUUAAUGCCUCAUAGUAUGUAAUUACGGCAUCGUUAUCACAUUAAAGGUUACGGCAAAAGAUGAGUAUGCGUUCUAUUAGCUAGAUGGUGUGGUAACGGCACACCAUGGCAACGAUAGAUAGGGGCCCUGAGAGGGGGAUCCCCCACACUGGUACUGAGACACGGACCAGACUCCUACGGGAGGCAGCAGUGAGGAAUAUUGGGCAAUGGAGGCAACUCUGACCCAGCCAUGCCGCGUGCAGGAAGACUGCCCUAUGGGUUGUAAACUGCUUUUAUACAGGAAGAAACCCCGCUACGAGUUAGCGGUUUGACGGUACUGUAAGAAUAAGGAUCGGCUAACUCCGUGCCAGCAGCCGCGGUAAUACGGAGGAUCCAAGCGUUAUCCGGAAUCAUUGGGUUUAAAGGGUCCGUAGGUUGGUAAUUAAGUCAGAGGUGAAAUCCUGCAGCUCAACUGUAGAAUUGCCUUUGAAACUGGUUAUCUUGAGUCAUUAUGAAGUGGUUAGAAUGUGUAGUGUAGCGGUGAAAUGCAUAGAUAUUACACAGAAUACCGAUUGCGAAGGCAGAUCACUAAUAAUGUACUGACACUGAUGGACGAAAGCGUGGGUAGCGAACAGGAUUAGAUACCCUGGUAGUCCACGCCGUAAACGAUGGUCACUAGCUGUUUGGACUUCGGUCUGAGUGGCUAAGCGAAAGUGAUAAGUGACCCACCUGGGGAGUACGUUCGCAAGAAUGAAACUCAAGGAAUUGACGGGGGGCCCGCACAAGCCG
rnacentral:rRNA from 1 species